rnacentral:rRNA from 1 species
AUUGAACGCUGGCGGCAGGCUUAACACAUGCAAGUCGAGCGGGGGAGGUUGCUUCGGUAACUGACCUAGCGGCGGACGGGUGAGUAAUGCUUAGGAAUCUGCCUAUUAGUGGGGGACAACAUCUCGAAAGGGAUGCUAAUACCGCAUACGUCCUACGGGAGAAAGCAGGGGACCUUCGGGCCUUGCGCUAAUAGAUGAGCCUAAGUCGGAUUAGCUAGUUGGUGGGGUAAAGGCCUACCAAGGCGACGAUCUGUAGCGGGCCUGAGAGGAUGGUCCGCGACACUGGGACUGAGACACGGCCCAGACUCCUACGGGAGGUAGCAGUGGGGAAUAUUGGACAAUGGGGGGAACCCUGAUCCAGCCAUGCCGCGUGUGUGAAGAAGGCCUUUUGGUUGUAAAGCACUUUAAGCGAGGAGGAGGCUACUGGUAUUAAUACUACCGGAUAGUGGACGUUACUCGCAGAAUAAGCACCGGCUAACUCUGUGCCAGCCGCCGCCGUAAGAC